GGCCGGGUGUCCGAGAAGUUAGGAAACGGUCUGCAAAACCGUUUACAGGGGUGCGAAUCCCCUCCCGGCCUCAA
rnacentral:tRNA from 1 species